CUCCCUAAAGCCCCGUUUACACGAGCAAAUUUUAUUUGACAAAUUUCAUAUGUCAAAGAUAUUUUGCUCGUGUAGAUGAUACAUUUGUGACAAAUUUAUUGUGACAAAUGCAUUUGAACAAAAGCUAGCAUGCUAGCUUUUGAUCAAAUGCAUUUGUCACAUUAAAUUUGUCAUAUAAAAUUUGCUCGUGUAAACGGGGCUUAAAUGA